rnacentral:rRNA from 1 species
GAUGAACGCUGGCGGCGUGCCUAAUACAUGCAAGUCGAGCGAACAGACGAGGAGCUUACUCCUCUGACGUUAGCGGCGGACGGGUGAGUAACACGUGGAUAACCUACCUAUAAGACUGGGAUAACUUCGGGAAACCGGAGCUAAUACCGGAUAACAUGUUGAACCGCAUGGUUCAACAGUGAAAGACGGUCUUGCUGUCACUUAUAGAUGGAUCCGCGUCGCAUUAGCUAGUUGGUAAGGUAACGGCUUACCAAGGCAACGAUGCGUAGCCGACCUGAGAGAGUGAUCGGCCACACUGGAACUGAGACACGGUCCAGACUCCUACGGGAGGCAGCAGUAGGGAAUCUUCCGCAAUGGGCGAAAGCCUGACGGAGCAACGCCGCGUGAGUGAAGAAGGUCUUCGGAUCGUAAAACUCUGUUAUUAGGGAAGAACAAAUGUGUAAGUAACUAUGCACGUCUUGACGGUACCUAAUCAGAAAGCCACGGCUAACUACGUG